rnacentral:rRNA from 1 species
UACGGGGGGGGCAAGCGUUGUUCGGAAUUACUGGGCGUAAAGGGUCCGUAGGUGGCCAACUAAGUCAGACGUGAAAUCCCUCAGCUUAACUGGGGAACUGCGUCUGAUACUGGAUGGCUUGGAUUCGGGAGAGGAAUGCGGAAUUCCAGGUGUAGCGGUGGAAUGCGCAGAUAUCAGGAGGAACACCGGUGGCGAAGGCGGGAUCCUGGGCCAGUACUGACGCUGAGGAGCGAAAGCGUGGGGAGCAAACAGG